GACGAACGCUGGCGGCGUGCUUAACACAUGCAAGUCGAACGAUGAAGCAAAGAAUUGCAGCUUCGGCAGAAAUUCAUUUCGGAUUAGUGGCAGACGGGUGAGUAACGCGUGAGCAACCUACCUCUUACAAAGGGAUAGCCUCGGGAAACCGGGAUUAAUACCAUAUAACAUUGCGACGAAGCAUUUCGAUGCAAUCAAAGCUACGGCGGUAAGAGAUGGGCUCGCGUCCCAUUAACCAGAUGGUGAGGUAACGGCUCACCAUAGUAACGAUGGGUAACCGGCCUGAGAGGGUGAACGGUCACACUGGAACUGAGACACGGUCCAGACUCCUACGGGAGGCAGCAGUGGGGAAUAUUGCACAAUGGAGGGAACUCUGAUGCAGCGACGCCGCGUGAGUGAUGAAGGAAUUCGUUUCGUAAAACUCUGUUCUAUGGGAAGAAAAGGACUGUACCAUAGGAGAAAGCUCCGGCUAAAUACGUG
rnacentral:rRNA from 1 species